UUCUAUUUUAUUCCGUCAAUCUUUUAGAGAUUUUUAUCUUAGAUUUUACUGAGUUUUCUACUGAAAAAUCCCUUCAAAAAUCUUUAUUUUUCGAAUCCCCUGUUUUUGUCUUUAUUCUUGAUUGCCGUCACCGUGGGCCGUUGCCGGUCAUCGGACCCGAUCGCUCGACAUCAUCGGAGACUACCCCACUGGUCGGAGGGGUGGUCGGCUAGGGGGAGGCCUCUCAGUUCGAGAACAAGAGGAAGGAAGACCUCCUUGUUCCGUGAAGAAAAAAAGGGAAAAGAU
rnacentral:lncRNA from 1 species